rnacentral:rRNA from 1 species
UACACUCCUACGGGAGGCAGCAGUGGGGAAUAUUGGACAAUGGGCGCAAGCCUGAUCCAGCCAUGCCGCGUGAGUGAUGAAGGCCCUAGGGUUGUAAAGCUCUUUCACCGGUGAAGAUAAUGACGGUAACCGGAGAAGAAGCCCCGGCUAACUUCGUGCCAGCAGCCGCGGUAAUACGAAGGGGGCUAGCGUUGUUCGGAUUUACUGGGCGUAAAGCGCACGUAGGCGGACUAUUAAGUCAGGGGUGAAAUCCCGGGGCUCCACCCCGGAACGGCCUUUGAGACUGGUAGUCUUGAGUUCGAGAGAGGUGAGUGGAAUUCCGAGUGUAGAGGUGAAAUUCGUAGAUAUUCGGAGGAACACCAGUGGCGAAGGCGGCUCACUGGCUCGAUACUGACGCUGAGGUGCGAAAGCGUGGGGAGCAAACAGGAUUAGAUACCCUUGUAGUCCCA